rnacentral:lncRNA from 1 species
CAGGCCCAACAUUGCACCGCUCAACGCCUAAAUUGGCUGCUCAGCGGUUUGCCUCUAAUCGUUCUGGACGCUCAGCGACACCGCUUGGGCGAGAAACAAUGAAUACACCCUCGAGAUUGGCGUUCAGCGCUGGAAUUGGCGCUGAGCGGUGAACUUGACUCUUCUUUUCUUCCUUUUUUUCCUCUUUUCUUGAGUCCAAGUCCUCC